UACGAAGGGGGCUAGCGUUGCUCGGAAUCAUUGGGCGUAAAGGGCGUGUAGGCGGUUUGUUAAGUCAUGAUGUGAAAUCCCUCGGCUCAACCGGGGGAACGACGCAUGAAACUGGCAAGCUAGAGUACCAAAGAGGGGGGUGGAAUUCCCGGGUGUAGCGGGUGAAAUGCGUAGAUAUUGGGAGGAACACCAGUGGCGAAGGCGGCUCGCUGGACCGGUUCUGACGCUGAUGCGCGAAAGCGUGGGGAGCAAACGGGG
rnacentral:rRNA from 1 species